UACGUAGGGUGCGAGCGUUGUCCGGAAUUAUUGGGCGUAAAGAGCUUGUAGGCGGUUUGUCGCGUCUGCUGUGAAAAUCCGGGGCUCAACCCCGGACUUGCAGUGGGUACGGGCAGGCUAGAGUGUGGUAGGGGAGACUGGAAUUCCUGGUGUAGCGGUGAAAUGCGCAGAUAUCAGGAAGAACACCCGUGGCGAAGGCGGCUCUCUGGGACGGUACUGACGCUGAGACGUGAAAGCGUGGGGAGCGAACAGG
rnacentral:rRNA from 1 species